rnacentral:rRNA from 1 species
GACGAACGCUGGCGGCGUGCCUAAUACAUGCAAGUCGAACGAACCGCGACUAGGUGCUUGCACUUGGUCAAGGGGAGUGGCGAACGGGUGAGUAACACGUGGGUAACCUACCUCAUAGUGGGGGAUAACAGUCGGAAACGACUGCCAAUACCGCAUAGGACAUAGGAUCACAUGAUCCAGUGAGGAAAGGUGGCGCAAGCUAUCGCUAAGAGAUGGACCCGCGGUGCAUUAGCUAGUUGGUAGGGUAAAGGCCUACCAAGGCGAUGAUGCAUAGCCGACCUGAGAGGGUGAUCGGCCACAUUGGGACUGAGACACGGCCCAAACUCCUACGGGAGGCAGCAGUAGGGAAUCUUCCGCAAUGGACGCAAGUCUGACGGAGCAACGCCGCGUGAGUGAAGAAGGUCUUCGGAUCGUAAAGCUCUGUUGUUAGAGAAGAACAGCGCAUAGAGUAACUGUUAUGCGUGUGACGGUAUCUAACCAGAAAGCCACGGCUAACUACGUG